rnacentral:rRNA from 1 species
UACAGAGGUCUCAAGCGUUGUUCGGAUUCAUUGGGCGUAAAGGGUGCGUAGGCGGCGCGGUAAGUCGGGUGUGAAAUCUCGGGGCUUAACUCCGAAACUGCAUUCGAUACUGCCGUGCUUGAGGACUGGAGAGGAGACUGGAAUUUACGGUGUAGCGGUGAAAUGCGUAGAUAUCUGGAGGAACACCGGUGGCGAAGGCGGCAUCCUGGACCGAUACUGACGCUGAGGAGCGAAAGCCAGGGGAGCAAACGGG